rnacentral:rRNA from 1 species
GACGAACGCUGGCGGCGUGCUUAACACAUGCAAGUCGAACGGAAAGGCCCUGCUUUUGUGGGGUGCUCGAGUGGCGAACGGGUGAGUAACACGUGAGUAACCUGCCCUUGACUUUGGGAUAACUUCAGGAAACUGGGGCUAAUACCGGAUAGGAGCUCCUGCUGCAUGGUGGGGGUUGGAAAGUUUCGGCGGUUGGGGAUGGACUCGCGGCUUAUCAGCUUGUUGGUGGGGUAGUGGCUUACCAAGGCUUUGACGGGUAGCCGGCCUGAGGGGGUGACCGGCCACAUUGGGACUGAGAUACGGCCCAGACUCCUACGGGAGGCAGCAGUGGGGAAUAUUGCACAAUGGGCGCAAGCCUGAUGCAGCAACGCCGCGUGCGGGAUGACGGCCUUCGGGUUGUAAACCGCUUUCGCCUGUGACGAAGCGUGAGUGACGGUAAUGGGUAAAGAAGCACCGGCUAACUACGUG